CCUACGGGAGGCAGCAGUAGGGAAUAUUGCUCAAUGAGGGAAACCCUGAAGCAGCGACGCCGCGUGCAGGAUGAAGGUUUUAGGAUUGUAAACUCCUGUUGUUAGGGAAGAUUAUGACGGUAUGUAACGAAUAACAACCGGCUAAAUCCGUGCCAGCAGCCGCGGUAAUACGGAGGGUGCAAGCGUUACUCGGAAUAACUGGGCGUAAAGAGUGCGUAGGCGGGGUAAUAAGUCAGAUGUGAAAUCCUGUAGCUUAACUACAGAACUGCAUUUGAAACUGUUACUCUGGAGUGUGGGAGAGGUAGGUGGAAUUCUUGGUGUAGGGGUGAAAUCCGUAGAGAUCAAGAGGAAUACUCAUUGCGAAGGCGACCUGCUGGAACAUUACUGACGCUGAUGGACGAAAGCGUGGGGAGCAAACAGGAUUAGAUACCCUUGUAGUC
rnacentral:rRNA from 1 species